rnacentral:rRNA from 1 species
UUAGAGUUUGAUCAUGGCUCAGAUUGAACGCUGGCGGCAUGCCUUACACAUGCAAGUCGAACGGCAGCAUGAUCUAGCUUGCUAGAUUGAUGGCGAGUGGCGAACGGGUGAGUAAUACAUCGGAACGUGCCCUGUAGUGGGGGAUAACUAGUCGAAAGAUUAGCUAAUACCGCAUACGACCUGAGGGUGAAAGUGGGGGACCGCAAGGCCUCAUGCUAUAGGAGCGGCCGAUGUCUGAUUAGCUAGUUGGUGGGGUAAAGGCCCACCAAGGCGACGAUCAGUAGCUGGUCUGAGAGGACGAUCAGCCACACUGGGACUGAGACACGGCCCAGACUCCUGCGGGAGGCAGCAGUGGGGAAUUUUGGACAAUGGGGGCAACCCUGAUCCAGCAAUGCCGCGUGUGUGAAGAAGGCCUUCGGGUUGUAAAGCACUUUUGUCCGGAAAGAAAUCGCACUUACUAAUAUUAGGUGUGGAUGACGGUACCGGAAGAAUAAGGACCGGCUAACUACGUGCCAGCAGCCGCGGUAAUACGUAGGGUCCAAGCGUUAAUCGGAAUUACUGGGCGUAAAGCGUGCGCAGGCGGUUGUGCAAGACCGAUGUGAAAUCCCCGGGCUUAACCUGGGAAUUGCAUUGGUGACUGCACGGCUAGAGUGUGUCAGAGGGGGGUAGAAUUCCACGUGUAGCAGUGAAAUGCGUAGAGAUGUGGAGGAAUACCGAUGGCGAAGGCAGCCCCCUGGGAUAACACUGACGCUCAUGCACGAAAGCGUGGGGAGCAAACAGGAUUAGAUACCCUGGUAGUCCACGCCCUAAACGAUGUCAACUAGUUGUUGGGGAUUCAUUUCCUUAGUAACGUAGCUAACGCGUGAAGUUGACCGCCUGGGGAGUACGGUCGCAAGAUUAAAACUCAAAGGAAUUGACGGGGACCCGCACAAGCGGUGGAUGAUGUGGAUUAAUUCGAUGCAACGCGAAAAACCUUACCUACCCUUGACAUGCCACUAACGAAGCAGAGAUGCAUUAGGUGCUCGAAAGAGAAAGUGGACACAGGUGCUGCAUGGCUGUCGUCAGCUCGUGUCGUGAGAUGUUGGGUUAAGUCCCGCAACGAGCGCAACCCUUGUCUCUAGUUGCUACGAAAGGGCACUCUAGAGAGACUGCCGGUGACAAACCGGAGGAAGGUGGGGAUGACGUCAAGUCCUCAUGGCCCUUAUGGGUAGGGCUUCACACGUCAUACAAUGGUGCAUACAGAGGGUUGCCAAGCCGCGAGGUGGAGCUAAUCCCAGAAAAUGCAUCGUAGUCCGGAUCGUAGUCUGCAACUCGACUACGUGAAGCUGGAAUCGCUAGUAAUCGCGGAUCAGCAUGCGGCGGUGAA